rnacentral:rRNA from 1 species
AACGAACGCUGGCGGCAUGCCUAACACAUGCAAGUCGAACGAGAAAGUACCUUCGGGUGCGAGUACAGUGGCGCACGGGUGAGUAACACGUAGGUGACCUACCUUAUAGUGGGGGAUAACACAGAGAAAUUUGUGCUAAUACCGCAUACGAAACUUCGGUUUGAAAGAAUGCCUCUCCUUGGAAGCAUUUGCUAUAAGAUGGGCCUGCGGGACAUUAGCUUGUUGGUGGGGUAAUGGCCUACCAAGGCGACGAUGUCUAGCUGGUCUGAGAGGAUGAUCAGCCACACUGGAACUGAGACACGGUCCAGACUCCUACGGGAGGCAGCAGUGGGGAAUAUUGCGCAAUGGGGGAAACCCUGACGCAGCAAUGCCGCGUGAGUGAGGAAGGGUUUCGGCUCGUAAAGCUCUGUCAGAUGGGAAGAACUGCUUAGGGUCCAAUAGGCCUUAGGUUUGACGGUACCAUCAAAGGAAGCACCGGCUAACUUCG